rnacentral:rRNA from 1 species
GACGUAGGGCGCGAGCGUUGUCCGGAUUUAUUGGGCGUAAAGAGCUCGUAGGCGGCUCGUUGCGUCGGCUGUGAAAACCCGCAGCUCAACUGUGGGCUUGCAGCUGAUACGGGCGGGCUGGAGUUCGGUAGGGGAGACUGGAAUUCCUGGUGCAGCGGUGAAAUGCGCAGAUAUCAGGAGGAACACCGGUGGCGAAGGCGGGUCUCUGGGCCGAUACUGACGCUGAGGAGCGAAAGCGUGGGGAGCGAACAGG